rnacentral:lncRNA from 1 species
CACUAUAUGCUUCUUGACCAUUAGCUGUCAUUCUCUCUAUCAAGUCAUAGGCUUCAUCCUCAGCCUUCUGUUUAAUCUCACCUCCAGCUGAGGCGCCUCGCAUCAUCUUAGACUGCAUAUUUAGUCCACCAAGGUAGGCAACAACAAUGGUUGUCUUGUCAAAUCCGUGAACUGGUGUUUUCCUGAGUAGUCCUUUGAAUCGCUCCCAUGUUUGACUUAGAGAUUCUUCCAUGCCUUGUUUGAAUGAUGAGAUCUCCAGCUUUCCUUGAGUAACUUUAGAUUGUGGAAAAUAUUUGUUGACAAAUGUUCUAGCCACAGCUUCCUAAGUUGUAAAUGUUCCUUCAGGAAAGGAAUUGAGCCACGUCUUAGCAUUACCCUCCAAUGAGAAAGGAAACAAGCUAAGCCUUACUCUUUCAUCUGAUACACCGGCCAUCUUCACUGUAUUGCAUAUUUCACUGAAUACUGUCAAAUGAUCAUAAGGAUUCUCAUUUGACAGGCCAUGAAACUGUUUUCUCUGAACCAGGUGUAUUAGUGUUGGAUUCAUCACCAUGUUGGUCGUUCGAUUUGCAGGCAUGACUAUGCUGCUAAAAUGGAAAGGGCCAACCGUAUCUGAUUGGUCUGCAAGAGUGCGUCUUGGAGGAGUUCUCUCAACCAUCUCCUCUGUUCUUCUAUCUGGUGAAGGUGAUUGUAAUCUGUCAGGUGAAGGAAACAAAUCCCUAGAUGGGCGUCUGACUCUCCU